AUUCCAGCUCCAAUAGCGUAUAUUAAAGUUGUUGCAGUUAAAAAGCUCGUAGUUGGAUUUGUGGUGUGUCCAGUCGACCUUUGCUCUUUGAGUGAUUGUGUUGUACUGGUCUGCCAUGUUUGGGUGGAAUCUGUGUGGCAUUAAGUUGUCGUGCAGGGGAUGCCCAUCGUUUACUGUGAAAAAAUUAGAGUGUUCAAAGCAGGCUUAUGCCGUUGAAUAUAUUAGCAUGGAAUAAUGAUAUGGGACCUUGGUACUAUUUUGUUGGUUUGCGCACUAAGGUAAUGAUUAAGAGGGACAGUUGGGGGUAUUUGUACUCCAUUGUCAGAGGUGAAAUUCUUGGAUUUUUGGAAGACAAACUACUGCGAAAGCAUUUACCAAGGAUGUUUUCAUCA
rnacentral:rRNA from 1 species